rnacentral:tRNA from 1 species
GACGAUAUAGCCAAGUGGUAAGGCAGGGGAUUGCAAAUCCUCUAUCCUCAGUUCAAAUCUGAGUAUCGUCU